rnacentral:rRNA from 1 species
UUGCAGGCUGCAACUCGCCUGCAUGAAGUUGGAAUUGCUAGUAAUCGCGAAUCAGAAUGUCGCGGUGAAUACGUUCCCGGGCCUUGUACACACCGCCCGUCACACCAUGAGAGCCGAUAACACCCGAAGCCUGUGAGCUAACCGUAAGGGGGCAGCAGUCGAAGGUGGGGUUGGUGAUUGGGGUGAAGUCGUAACAAGGUAAC